rnacentral:lncRNA from 1 species
AUGGUGCAUUGCAGCCAGGAGAAAAGGUCACGCUUAACAGAGGGCUGCAGAAGUCGCUGCAAACUGAGCAUCUAUUUAAUCACCACAAUGAGGCCAAGAGCAUUAUCCACGGUACUCACCCAUACAGCUGUGUGGCAUGGGAGACAGAAUUCACUGAGGAGGAGCAGAGUACACCCACAGACUGAAGCAUUCUUCAACAUCAAAUGAGUUUAUCAAAGUAAGCCCUGACUAUUUUGUUUCACUGAAAUUCUCAGUUUGUUUUGAUUUGUUUUGUUGUUGAUUUUGUGGUGUUUUUAUUAGUUUUCUUGGGUUUUGUUUGUUUCUUGCCUGAAGGUGCCUGCUUUAAAUACAUCAAGUUCCCAGUCAUUAUAUGGAUUACAAACAACUACUUUGUUCUAGGUUUCACAUUUAUUUCCUUAUUUUUCUUACAAACCAACACAUUCACCU